AAUAUUUCUGGUUUACAAGACCGGUGUAUUGGGUUGUACUACAAGGGCAGUUUCAUUUAAGUAAUUUAUUUUCGACUAGGGAAGGGAGUGGUAUUAGGACUAGUAUUGUGGUGGA